UCAGUUUCUCCUGCAUAGCGAAGUGCUCUCCAUCUGCUCCUUGUGGAUUGAUCCAGGAUGGUAUUUGAAGAUGGCAGUGGUUGUAGUGCACGUCAAACUAUGGCAGUCAUGUUUCCCCUUUGCUGUUUGGUGUGGAGUUUUACUUCUUCUUUUCUGCCAGGGAUGUUUGAACAGACAUCAAAACUGGAGGACAACAUGGCCAUUGAAGCAGCAUGGCAGCGCUUGAAUCCUUCCCUGCACUCUGGUACAGAGAAAAUUAAGUGUAGAGCCAUGGGACCUGGAGCUGGUGACUUGCAGCUAGACAUGGGCAACGCUGGGUGCCUGCCUUUGAUUGAGGUGCCCAAGACCUGGCCCUGAUCCAACAAAGCCAACAACUGCAUCUUCCCCUUCCAACUGCUCAAAUGACAAAGCCCAGCAAAUAACCAGGGCCUGUGAGUCCAUUUGUGCCUUACUACCAGGAACCAUUUAUUCCAUGUAUUUUGUACAAAUCCAGUAAGGCAGGUAAACAUCCAGGCCAGAAAUUAAUGCCCCAAACUGGCUACAAAUCUGGACUCCAGACUCGGUCGCACCUACAUCCAGGCUUCAACUACUGGUAAAAAUCUGUGCCAUAAUAACUCCAAAGGUUCUGUCCUACUACUGGGCAACAAUAAAAUGGUUUAACCUUAA